ensembl:lncRNA
AACAGCAUUUAUGUUUGCUUGUGUGUGUGGAGAACUGUUGGGGUUUUUUUUGUUCCUUACCAGUACCACAUGGUGCACCUGUAUAGUGUUGUAGUGACUGAGAAUGUAAGACAGGCUGUACAGGUCUACAGGAGUGUUGUUGGGAAGGGUACAGUUGUACCUUGGUUCUUGAAGUGCCAGUACCAGGUGUCCAUGUUUCAGCUGCAGAACCAUGGGAUGUAGGCAAGGUGCAGCAGUGGUGGGCUUUGCAACACCGACUCCAGUGUACACAUCACCACACAAAAGGCAUCGCGGCUGCUGGACAAGUUGACCUCUUCCAGUUUGGACACCUGUUGCCAGCCAUCUGCUACAUGUGACAAGACAAGUG